AAAUGCGCCGAUUGUGAUUAUGGGACAAAUGUUAAAAACAACUUCAAUCGACAUCUUUUAACACAUAAAGUUUCUAAGGAAAUUAAAUGUGCUAUUUGUGAUUAUGAAACAAACAAGAAAUACUGCUUUAAUCGACACCUUUUAAUACAUAAGGUUUCUAAGGAUUUUAAAUGUGCUAAUUGUAAUUAUGAGACAAAUCGUAAAUGGAACUUACAACAACAUGUUUUAAAACAUAAAGUUUCCAAGGAUUUUAAAUGCGCUGAUUGUGAUUAUGGGACAAAUAUUAAAAGCAGCUUCAAACAACAUCUUUUAACCCAUAAAGUUUCGAAGGAUUUGAAAUGUGCUAUUUGUGGUUAUGGGACAAACAUUAAGUAUAACUUUAACCAACACGUCUUAACACACAAAGUUUCUAAGUAUUUUAAAUGUGCUGAUUGUGAUUAUGGGACAAAUUUUAAAUCCGCCCUUAAAAUACACCUUUUAAAACAUAAGGUUUCUAAAGAUUUUAAAUGUACUAAUUGUGAUUAUGAGACAAAUUAUAAAUCCGAUCUUAAACGACACCUUUUAAAACAUAAAGUUUCUAAGGAUUUAAAAUGUGGUAAUUGUGGUUAUGAAACAAACGUUAAACUCGACUUCAAACGACAUCUUUUAAAACAUGGAGCUUCUAAGGUUUUUAAAUGUGCUACUUGUGAUUAUGGGACAAAUCAUAAACGCUACUUCAAACAACAUAUUUUAAAACAUACAGAUUCUAAGGAUUUUAAAUUAGAAUUUGGGACAAAUAGUACGCUGAAAGGGUCCUGACUCACUACUACAAUUUGAAUAUUUACCAUUUUACCCCAUAGAUUAAUUCAAAAUUGUCCCCUUAUAAGGUAUUUCACAAAAUGCAUUAUAAAUAUAUCAAUAUUAUAUAUAAUAAAAUUGAUGCAUAGCCGACCAGUACCGUUGGCAUAUAUAGAGACACCGUAUCAACGCGUGCGCUGUGCGCCAAUGUCGCGCUCUAGUGCUUAUAUCAAAAAACACAUGUUAUUUGGCUCAUACAUAUAUGUAUAAAAGACAUAUAUGGGCUCAUAUAUAUAAGAGAAAUAUGGCUACAACCAUAUAUAUAAGAGAAGAUAUAUAUGGCUACAACACGUUGAGAUAAAAGGCCUAAACUCCGUACAAUCUGCGCAUGCGAAAGAAACGUCAAAGUUGCAAUGUUAUUAAUUAAAAUGUAGGUUAGGUUAUUGUUUUCAUCACAAGCUGGUAUCUGUUAUAAUGAAUAAACAUAUUCGUAAAUCGUAAUGUACAUUUAAACUCAUAGACUUUUGUCGUUGUUAUACCAAGAGCCAUGUUUCGCUGCGGCAGUAUAAAAUUCGAAAAGGACAGUAUAAGCCCCAUGUUCACAAAUCGUAACCCAAGACAUUUCAAAUACCUACGAAUCGCUAAUAAACCGGACGGCUACUACGGUGAUAAAACUGGAACGCUCCUACUGGCAUAAAUAUACAAAUUUGCUUUCCUACCGCCUCCAAUAAGACAGCCCGAUUGUAGAUGACAACCGACACAAACAGGCCGUCACGUAACUUCAUUGUUCGUCCAUUACAUCAACGGACCCGACACUCACCGCUAGCACGAAGGAAUGGGCCAUCAAAACCAGGCUGUAUAAGACCAUGCACCAAGUCGUUGGCGUUUCAGUUCUUCGUACAAAGAUACCUUGCAAGCGGUCCGACAGAGUUUAUGUGCGAUUGCAAACCCGAACACAACGGCAGUAAGGUCACAAAGUUUCUAACGUGCUCCAAGAUUUCAAUUUGAAAUUGUCUGAACCGGAAUAGUCAAGAGAGCCGUGGACGAGAGAAAGAUUACCAAACCCGUGGGAUAUAAUCUGACUUGACAGAUAAUGUGAAUCGAUCUUAAAUUGUGGACCUAUUAGUUUCUGUAAAGAGAAGGCUGAGAAUUGGGUCGCUGCAAUGAAGUGAUAGAAAGCCCUACGUUCAGUCUGUCGAGAUGCUUCCCUGUUUCUAACUCAAAGGUUCUUCCAAAGAAGUUAUAGUGAAUUGGCAAUUUCAAAUUGAAAUCUUGGAGCACAUUAGAAACUUUGCGACCUUACUGACGUUGUGUUCGGGUUUGCAAUCGCACAUAAACUCUGUCGGACCGUUUGCAAGGCAUCUUUGUACUAAGAACUGAAACCUACAAGUAGCAAACAUUAAAUUGAAUGCAGGGACGUUCACGUACGCCAACGACUUGGUGCAUGGUCUUAUACAGCCGGGUUUUGACGGGCCAUUCCUUCGUGCUAGCGGUGAGUGUCGGGUCCAUUGAUGUAAUGCACAAACAAUAAAGUUAAGUGACGGCCUGUUUGUGUCGGUUGUCAUCUACAAUCGGGCUGUCUUAUUGGAGGCGGUAGGAAAGCAAAUUUGUAUAUU